AGAGUUUGAUCAUGGCUCAGAUUGAACGCUGGCGGCAUGCCUUACACAUGCAAGUCGAACGGUAACAGGUCUUCGGAUGCUGACGAGUGGCGAACGGGUGAGUAAUACAUCGGAACGUGCCCGAUCGUGGGGGAUAACGGAGCGAAAGCUUUGCUAAUACCGCAUACGAUCUACGGAUGAAAGCAGGGGACCGCAAGGCCUUGCGCGGACGGAGCGGCCGAUGGCAGAUUAGGUAGUUGGUGGGAUAAAAGCUUACCAAGCCGACGAUCUGUAGCUGGUCUGAGAGGACGACCAGCCACACUGGGACUGAGACACGGCCCAGACUCCUACGGGAGGCAGCAGUGGGGAAUUUUGGACAAUGGGCGCAAGCCUGAUCCAGCCAUGCCGCGUGCAGGAUGAAGGCCUUCGGGUUGUAAACUGCUUUUGUACGGAACGAAAAGACUCCUUCUAAUAAAGGGGGUCCAUGACGGUAC
rnacentral:rRNA from 1 species